rnacentral:lncRNA from 1 species
AGAUGAAGGGCACACACUCAAGGGGUUUUAAGCAGGCCAGGUUGACAGCACUUCUCACAGUGGCUGUUCAAUUGCCAUCUCACCUCCCUGCUGGAUUGAAACUCCCUGAGGGCAGAGCCUAGUCAUUUGUGUUGGAAGCUGCAUCAGUGCAUCUAGAACAUGGCUCAGCACACAAAAGGUGGAGUGUUCUGGGAAUGAAUGAAUGACAGCCUCUACCCCUGUCGUCUGCCCUGUGUCUCCCUGCCACCCUGCCCCUGUCCUCCCGUCCCCUGUCCCUUGCCCCACCACGCUGCCCCCUGCUAUGGCAGGGCUAUAGAUGGGCCAGCCAGGAGGGACUCAACCCCGGAAGCCCACAGCCUGGCCACAUUGCAGCCAGCUGACUCUGCCGCACCUCCUGGAAGACACAGGCCUUGGCUUCUGCCUACUGCGGGUGACACACCACACCUACCACGCCUCUUCACAAACUUAAAUGGGACAGAUGCCCACGCUGGUAUACAAACCACACCUUGACAGAACCACAUGCAGAAACACAUCCGUACAUACCCACUCGCAUCCCAAGGUAGAGGCUAUGCCUUCCCACACCAACUCACAACACCUUAAUCACAGCUAGCAUACCUGAUACACAUUCACACACACAUCCAUACACAUACCCCCUCACACAUAUCCGCACAUACACUCAGGCACAUAUACACACACACAAACACCCCCACACAAGCACACAUCCACACACAUAUCCACACACACACCCUCACACACAUCCACACGUACACUCACAUCCACACACCCACACACAAGCAUACACACAAAGAGUACACACAUACACAUAUACACACAUCCACACACACACCCUCACACACAUCCACACACACACCCUCACACACAUCCACCUAUACAUUUAUACACAUAUCCACAUCCACAUACCCAUACAAACAUACACACACAAAGCACACACACACACAUCCACAUAUACACACAUCCACACAAACACCCACACACAAGCACACACACAAGCACACACAUCCACAUAUACACACACUCUCACACACAUCCACAAUUCAUUCAUACACAUAUACCCCCACACACACAGAGCACACACACACCUAAACACCCACACACAAGUACACCUACACACACAAACACACACAUCCACAUACACAUCCACACACACACACAAUCCACAUGGACACUGAUAUCCACACACCCACACACACAAAGAGCACACACAUACACAUAUACACACAUCCACACAAACACCCACACACAAGCACACACACAUACAGCACAUGCGCAUCCACAUAUGCACACACAUCCCCACACACAGAAACCCUCACACAUCCACAUAUACACAUCCACACACACAUCCCCCCUCACACAUGUACACACAUACACUCAUAUGUAUAUACACACAAAUCCACACACACACAUCCACACACAUAAACACCCACACACACACAUAUACUCAUACACAUGC